UUUAACGAACGUCCUGUCUCGGUCGCAGCUAGUUUUGUCGGUUUACGCCGGCGGCGAUUAAUCUGAUCAGAGUGAAAGUGAGAGGGGUCGCGCGGAAAAAUGACGUGUAUCAGAUUCGACGGCGUGCAUGGGACGCAAUAAUCGUGUCGUAAGGUCCAGCCAGUGCCUCUGUAUAUACGACGUACAAUGAUCGGAGCGACGCAAAGGUUAUGAAACGGCGGCAGCGUGAAUCUCUUUUACAUCAUCCCUCAAGGCCAUGGUCGCUUCUCUACGAGGGUGAAGACGCGCGCGCUCCGAAUUUCCUUGAAUGAUCGCACAAGAAUCGAUGGUCGUAACGAUCGAGAAAUCGAUUUUAAAUAAUACUUUUUGCCCGCUUAUCGAUCGGUUUCUCCGAUUUCGCUGGCAGGAAAAUCGCAGAAACUUUCUCCGCCAAUAAGAUCGUUCGAACGAUUAUUAUCCUCGGAGUGCUUUCAUUUCGUAGCAAAAAUGAAACACACACGAUGAUGUACGCACCGUAUGGCAACAGAAGCAUUGCAACUGCAAGCGACGUACCGUAGCCGUUUUUUUGCUCCAGUUGCGCAAAUAUACAGCGGCAAUGAUUUCAAAUAUGCAAAUAGAAAAUAGCUCGAAAGUAGUAAUCAAACGUUGUAUAUAUCAAUCCUCUUAUUACGGAUUGUAUAAGCGGAGGAGAAAAUCGCGAUUAAAAUUCGAAGAACAUAUAUAUAUAUAAUGGUUCAUGUUGCUUAUAUUAUAUGUAAUCAUUCAUUUAUAGAAAUCACCGUAACAUUCAUCAAAAAGGCGUUCUCCCUAUGGCGGCCGGCUUUCCGCCUACCGUGAAAAGAAAGCAAUAUUGCAUAAUAGGUAAAGAGAUAGUUGUCCAGCGACUAACGGAGGUGGUUGUAUAGUAUAACAUGCGUAACUCGCACGAGUCAACCGGUCAGCUUAAGGAAAUCUGGAGCAGCCGCCAUCGACAUUUUCGCAGAAUUCCGCGCGUGCGAGACACGCCGGUCAAUGUGACUUCUGGCGUUUACGUCGCUAUCAACAAAUCUCAAUUGAUUCUGCAACAGAUAGAAAAAAGCAUUGGAAUAUAGUCUCUCUCAUUAAGGACCUCUCUCUCUGACCGGAUAAAAAAAUCAGAAAGGAGCGGAACGGCUAUUGUACGUUGCGUAUCAAGGUUAUCAACUUCAUAGGAACAAACGAUGAUCGAUCGGACACAAUACGACGACGACAGUAGGACGCCGGAGGUCAUUCGGUCCUUCAGGGUGCACUUCACUGAUGUAGAAGUUUCUCACUGUUCGAUGUUUUAAGGCCCACUUACCUGUCAGUGACCAAGGUAGCGGGACGAUCGACAAGGACAAGUAAAAUACCGUAGGGGAUCGAUGGCAACACGCGCGUGCUUUAUCUUGGCCGGCCGACAUGUCACUCUCUUAUAUAGCGUGUCCCGCUGAAAGUUGCCUCCACCAGAUGAAGCGGAUUCGGUCCUCCUCGAGGUAGUGGGGGACCUCCUUGCGACUGCACCGCCACGCGCUCCUUCUGCAGGAUGCACCUGUUUGAAAAUCCUCGGGGAGAAGCGCGUGAAACUCACUGAGAAGAUAAGAUCCUAAUAUGACAAUGUAACGUAAGAGAAACAUGGCAUAGAAAACGCUGAUAUCAUUAAUGUUAGAUUAUAACAAUUGAAAUGGUGCGAUUGAAACCGUUUUCUCGAAAAACUGUCAACGCUUUAAUCUAACAAUUCAGCUUAAUGUUUUAAGAUGGAUGUCACGCAAAAUAAACUGUUCUCUUCUCGAUAUACUGACAUUGAAGAAUAAACGGCAUUGAAAGAUGGUAGGAAUCUCGCGAGUAAGUCUUGUUCAAGUUCAAAAGAAAAAGAAAUAAAAGUGCGCGAUAAAUGACGCACGGCGAGGCUCGAGAAUUUCGCUUUGCUUUAUUCCGGAAGGCGUAAUUGCCGGUCGCAAUUGCCGGGGAAGUAGGAUGUACUUCGAUGAAUCUCGCGGCAUAUAGAAUGAAGAUCGCGCGCCGAUUAAAGGCAAAACACGAAUGGACGGAAUGUAUAAUGUAGCGUGAAGGGCAAUUAAUUCGAUCUGUCGAUCAUAUUCCGGAAGAUCAGUUCGCUGAUCUACUGGCAGAAAGCGGAUCCCGCACUUUCCACUAUUCAACCAUCAGAUACAGUCUUCCUCUUGUUCGUCGUUUUCGAUGUUUCGAAAGGAAGAACGUAAUAUUCCGCUAUGCGAUCUCGCGUGACAUCCCCGUGCGUAAGGAACAUCCUCAAAGGCGCACCAAAUAUGGGAAGCUAAAAAUGAUAACUGAAUGGAUGUUUCUGGAUCGGUUGACGUAAUAAUCGCGCGUUCGAACGUAAAGAAAAUUCCAAGAGCUCGUAUUUACGAGAUUGUAAAUCGAGCGGGCGAGCCGACAGUUAGCCGAGAAUAACAAACGGAGAUAAUCACGUCCUGAUAUCGGAAUACUUGAACAAUGACAUAACUAGGAUUAAAUAAGGCGGUGGAGCGAUAAUAUAAAUCUCUCUUUUAAAGCAAUUGUAAAAUACGGAGCAAUGAUUCACAAAAUAACGGCCAAUAACGUUUCCACGAAAUACCCGACAUUAUCAUUCCGCUUGAGGAACGAUCCCGAUAGCGAAGCGGACAUUCGGACUGCGCUGCACGCGGAGACGCGUGCAAGAAACACUUUCACCGAGCGUUUGGGCCCGAUGGAGAAAGUUCCUUCAACCUGUGUUACGCCCUUGUUAGCCGGAAACUCGGCUGGAAAAUUGGCAGGGAGGAUAAAUGGGAGGUUGGACCAAAAAGUUCUCAAGAUUGUUUGGACCGCGGUCUGAGAUUCGCGUGUCUCGAGUUCUGAAACGCGCAAACAAAACCUGUUAUUUGCAGAGCGCGUAAAUUACCUGACCUUUCGAGUUUGAGGAAUGCAUGAGAAUUUUAUAUCUAAUUACGUAUUAGAAUUAAUAAUGAGCUUGUCGAAUACAUAUUCUUCAUAUAGUAGCACUUUACAAUUUGUAAAGAAUGAACACAACGUUUGCAUGUCUCAAACGCGAAGAGUAAAUUGCCAAUAGAUAUAUUUUUUCGAGAUCGUCGACACGAGAAGAGUCAAGUUCGUUAUGUGUCGAUAUGCUACAACGCAGAGAAGAAUGAAGUAAUCAACUUUGAGGUCUCGGUCGAUAGCCAAGCUCGUCCUUGAUCCUCCUUCUGUCUGGCAUUUAACUAUGUAGUUGCAUAAUUAUUCGGAACGAAAAGUGAAAAGAUCGAGAAAGGAGAAGCGUAGUUUUGCGAAGAGAGGAAAUGGUAGGAAAUCGAAAUAUCGCGAUUUAUAUUAAUUUAUAUCGGAACAAUCCUAAGAAAAUGAUUUUCGAUCUAUGCAAGUAAUAAUCGCGUAACGAUCGCUAACAACGUUAUAGCAGUAGGCGUUUCAGCAAAACGUAGAAUUUGAUUUCAAAUCGAGAACGAGUUGUUGGAAAACGCGGAAAUCUGGUGUGUAGCACGCGACGUUUUUCUCGCUGGAUAUAAACCGAUUUACAUGUACAAAGUACGUUGCGUAAACAACGCAUACCAUUAAGAUACGUAGAAAUACCAGUGAACGAGCCUCGAGUAUCGAGAAACGCGUAUACGAAGUGGUUUCGAAACAAUCUUUGCUCACUGAUCGACAAUUUGCUUCGUAAUAGAAAAUGUGAGCUAAAUACGAUUAACAUCUCAUAAACGCUGUUGGUGUGUCGGAAAAAAAACUGAUAUAUAAAUGCAACAUCAGCAAAAUAAAUCACAAAACUAUAAA